rnacentral:lncRNA from 1 species
UGGAGUAGAGUCACCAAUUGUCCAUAUUGCUCUUGAGUAAAACUGACAUUAGAGUUGUUGCUUUGGGGCUGCAUUUCCUCACCAUUCGUAGGAAAAGUGCCAACUGGAGUUAUAUGUACAUUUGCUGUAGUUCUCUUGCCUUUAUUAUACUUCAGGUUGUAAUUGAAAUCUUGAGGAUAAUCGUGGAGCUUGAAGCAUUUGUCUUUGGUAUGACCAGCACGCUUGCAGUAGUCACAAAAGGACGAGGUCUACUAGUAGAAGAGUAGUUAUUUGGAGAGUAAUUAGUUCUGAAAUUAUUGUUAUAC